GUGAGAGAUACGGAGGUAGAGCACUGAAUGUCCUAGGGGGUAUUGCACCUACCGAAGACUAUCAAACUCCGAAUGCCGUCAUCUUAUACUUGGGAGUCAGACUGUGGGUGAUAAGAUUCAUAUUCGAAAGGGCAACAGCCCAGAUCGUCAGCUAAGGUCCCUAAAUGUAAGUUAAGUGGUAAAGGAUGUGGGAUUGCACAGACAACCAGGAUGUUGGCUUAGAAGCAGCCACUCAUUCAAAGAGUGCGUAAUAGCUCACUGGUCGAGUGAUCCUGGGCCGAAGAUUUCCGGGGCUAAAACUUACUACCGAAGCUACGGCAUCAGUAAUGAUGGGUAGGGGAGCUUCCCAUACGGGUUGAAGCAUGACCGUAAGGACAUGUGGACAGUAUGGGAGUGAGAAUGUUGGCAUGAGUAGCGAGAUGUGGGUGAGAAUCCCACAGGCCGUAAACCCAAGGUUUCCAGGGGAAGGUUCGUCCGCCCUGGGUUAGUCGGGACCUAAGCUGAGGCCGAAAGGCGUAGGUGAUGGAC
rnacentral:rRNA from 1 species